AACGAACGCUGGCGGCAGGCCUAACACAUGCAAGUCGAGCGCCCCGCAAGGGGAGCGGCGGACGAGUGAGUAACACGUGGGAAUUUUCCUCAAGGUACGGAACAACUCAGGGAAACUUGGGCUAAUACCGUAUGAUGCAGAGAUGCCGAAGAUUUAUCGCCUUGGGAUAAGCCCGCGUCAGAUUAGGUAGUUGGUGGGGUAAUGGCCUACCAAGCCUGUGAUCUGUAGCUGGUCUGAGAGGACGAUCAGCCACAUUGGGACUGAGACACGGCCCAAACUCCUACGGGAGGCAGCAGUGGGGAAUCUUGCGCAAUGGACGAAAGUCUGACGCAGCCAUGCCGCGUGAAUGAUGAAGGUCUUAGGAUUGAAAGUUUUUCUUAGCCUGUGACGAUGAUGACGGUAACAGGAGAAUAAGCCCCGGCUAACUUCGUG
rnacentral:rRNA from 1 species